rnacentral:rRNA from 1 species
AACGAACGCUGGCGGCAUGCCUAACACAUGCAAGUCGAACGAGAUCUUCGGGUCUAGUGGCGCACGGGUGCGUAACGCGUGGGAAUCUGCCCUUUGGUUCGGAAUAACAGUUGGAAACGACUGCUAAUACCGGAUGAUGACGAAAGUCCAAAGAUUUAUCGCCAGAGGAUGAGCCCGCGUAGGAUUAGCUAGUUGGUGUGGUAAAGGCGCACCAAGGCGACGAUCCUUAGCUGGCCUGAGAGGAUGAUCAGCCACGCUGGGACUGAGAGACGGCCCAGACUCCUACGGGAGGCAGCAGUGGGGAAUAUUGGACAAUGGGCGAAAGCCUGAUCCAGCAAUGCCGCGUGAGUGAUGAAGGCCUUAGGGUUGUAAAGCUCUUUUACCCGGGAUGAUAAUGACAGUACCGGGAGAAUAAGCUCCGGCUAACUCCGUGCCAGCCGCCGCCGUAA